CGGGAGCCGGGCGAUUGUUUCUCGCGGCGCCCCUCCAACCUCCAGCCUUCCAGCGCUUUCUGGAGGGCAGUCGAGGGGAGCCCGGGCAGACUUUUCCCGGGGCGCCGCAGCCCCGAGGGGGAGGCCGGAGCCCCGGAGUCCCGGCCCCUCCCUGCGCCCUCGUCCCCGCGGGGCCAGCCUCCGUGCACCAGCUCGAGCCACUGAUGCUGACCUGCCCACUCGGGCUGCCCCUCCCUGCGCGAGCCCGCCUCGGCCUUGGGGCUCAGCCCGCGGGAGGGACACGGUGCAGGUUGGUGAGGCGACGAGGCUUCCGUCCCCGCGACCCAGGUCGGCGCCCCGGCCGCCCCCGCCCCCGCCGAAACGUGGGAGUUGCACGGAGGUGGUUUGGAGACCGAGAAGAACCGAAUUUCCUGGGUUGCUGCUGCCCGCGACGAUGACGGCGAAGGUCUCAUCUUGUUACAGUUCUGUGAGACAGACAGGACCACUGUCAUUUACCAGAUGACAAAACUGAGUCCCAGAGAGAGAGAAGGAACACCUGGAUGCCAGGAGAUGUGGAGCUGUCACUUGCUUGACCAUCAACCCCAGAGCACAGUCCUAACUUGCCUGAUCCAUGGACCACCUUCCCCAUCUGUACCACACAAGUGUUCUCGCCUUCCCACAUUUCAACAAUUGGCUAGCACAGAAGUGUGACUGUCCCGUUCGGUUGAAGCAAACCUGUUGUCCAUCUUCGGUUCCCACCCGACCCAUCUCACGUGGCUACCAGCCUGCUGGCCUCUGCACAUACUUGACUUUUUCUGCCUCACUGUGGUCCAGCCGGCUUAUUUGGGGACUUCCUCAUACCAGAAAAAAAUGAUGAUAUAAUCAGGUAUUUUGUUGUUUAUGUCUUAUUACUAAAAAUCAUACAGUUUCCACUUCUUUUUCUCUAUAGAGCUUUAUUAUGAUAUAUAAG